AAGACUAUAGACCUGCGGAGUACCUGCGGAGGGAUCAUUACUGAGUUUCACAACUCUCUAACCCUGUGUGAACUGAAGUCUGGUUGCUCAGGCAGGCGGCCCCCGGGGGGAGCCGCAGCUUCUCUGAAGCGCCUGCCGGAGGAUACCUAAACUCGUUUUAACAUAUAAUCUUCUGAGUAAUAAAAAAAAAUGAAUCAAAACUUUUAACAAUGGAUCUCU
rnacentral:misc_RNA from 1 species